rnacentral:rRNA from 1 species
AUUGAACGCUGGCGGCAGGCUUAACACAUGCAAGUCGAGCGGGGUGAUGGUGCUUGCACUAUCACUUAGCGGCGGACGGGUGAGUAAUGCUUAGGAAUCUGCCUAUUAGUGGGGGACAACAUCUCGAAAGGGAUGCUAAUACCGCAUACGUCCUACGGGAGAAAGCAGGGGAUCACUUGUGACCUUGCGCUAAUAGAUGAGCCUAAGUCGGAUUAGCUAGUUGGUGGGGUAAAGGCCUACCAAGGCGACGAUCUGUAGCGGGUCUGAGAGGAUGAUCCGCCACGCUGGGACUGAGACACGGCCCAGACUCCUACGGGAGGCAGCAGUGGGGAAUAUUGGAAAAUGGGGGGAACCCUGAUCCGGCCAUGCCGCGUGUGUGAAGAAGGCCUUAUGGUCGUAAAGCACUUUAAGCGAGGAGGAGGCUCUUUUGGUUAAUACCCAAGAUGAGUGGACGUUACUCGCGGAAUAAGCACCGGCUAACUCUGUGCCAGCAGCCGCGGUAA